CCUACGCAAACCAUAGCUUCUAUUUCCUCAACUUGGGAUUUCGCUGAUCUUAUUAGGAAGCUUCAUGCAUGGUGACGGGUGAACAACCACUCCAAUCCAUGGAAGUAAACGUUAAGAAAGGUUCAGUGAAACCUUGGCAGUGCAUUAUUGCCGGGGAUAACAAGUAAAAACUAGUACAAUAAAUUGAAGCUCAAUCCAAGCUCUCUUUCCAUUCAAAGUUUGAGUAAAGAGAAAACCGAUGUUAAGAGAAGGUUUGGGAAAUCCCAACCCCAUUUCUGCGGCAGUUCAAGAGUUUCCCCGGGGAAAGCUCCACUAAAUUGAAUUGUUCUCAUCCAAAGCCUGUUUUAUAUGUAGAAAUGCCAAGGUCUGGAGAUAUGGCUACUUUUCACAAGGAGAGGGAUGGAGCUAACUGAGCUGCCCAAUACAGAAUUGAAUGCCAGAUAGCGUUCAAGUUUUGGGGUCGGACUGUUUGGUUUGAACUGGUGUGAUGGCCAUGGUCCAUGGAUCGUAAUUGGCUGCUGCUUGUAGGAAACUUGUAACAUUCCUACUUGUAUCGCAGUUGAUGCUCUUACGAUCUUUCAGUUAAUAUUAUUGGCUUUCAUCUUUCAUUGUCGUCUUCUUUGCCUUCACAUCCUAUCGACGCCUCUGCAAGACCAGUUUGUCGCAAUACCGUUCUGUUCUGUUGUGUUUGUUUUUCUUUCCUGCUUUUAACCAAAUAACAAGACCAGGUUUGUAGUCA